AAUGCUCGAGGGCGUCAGACGGGAAUGAUUCAUUUCCUCCUGACUGCCCAAGGAGAGGCAUAAAAGCUCCCAGUUCUGGGCUGUUUUACCCCGUUCUUCACCCAUUCCUCCUGCCUCGCUCCGUGCUCCGAAGGCCCAACCUGCAGGAUCCUGCUGUCUGAGCUGGGUCGUGUGUUCCAGGCCGGUCUCCACUCCCAGAAAUGUCCUCCUCCAGGAAGAGCAGCAGCUCCCUCUCUCCCUUUCCCAGCAAAUCCCGCAGGCACAUCGCCAGCAGCUGGGGGGAGCCCCGGGUCUCCUCCCCUGGGGGCUCCACGGUUGUGGUUUACCCACCCCCCGUGGUCAUACACUUCCCACCUCCCACCAUCACCUCCUGCCCCCAGGAGGGUUUUGUGGGCACCAGCAGCACCGGGAGCCCCUGGAGACCCUCGAGCACUCUGGGGCCCUGCGGCUCCGACAACUUCAGGAGCUUUUUAGGGUGAUGGGAGGGCACCUUCUGCUCUGGCUCCAGGGCUCACUGAUGCUUUAGAUCCAUAUUCUGCUCUGGAUCCAUGUUCUGCUCUGGAUCCACGUUCUGCUCUGGCUCCAGGGCUCACUGAUGCUUUAGAUCCAUAUUCUGCUCUGGAUCCAUGUUCUGCUCUGGCUCCAGGGCUCACUGAUGCUUUAGAUCCAUGUUCUGCUCUGGAUCCAUGUUCUGCUCUGACUCCAGGGCUCACUGGUGCUCUGGGAGCUGCAGCCUGAGUUAAAUGUGCAAGGAAUGAGGAGCAGCCCCCCACCAAGGAGGAAGAUGAGCCUCCCCAAGCCCCGUCCUGGCAGUGCCCACCUGGAGCACCAUCCCUUCCACAGCUCCGUGCAGUUCCCAAGACAAUGAUUCAGUUUAGUUUUUGGGCUGUUCUUUCCACCUCCUGAUAACAACGACCUCAAAACCAUCAUAUCAACCACCUGUGGCUGUUUGAAAGCGGGAUGAGAUCGUGGAAGUCUUCCCAUGCCAUGGAAAAGCAGGAGCAAUGCACAUGGAAGGCAGAGCCCUGGAGCAACUCUUUGCCUACAGCCUUCAAGGAGCCCCUGCCGAGAUUUUCGCUCUGGUUUUCAUUCCCAGUAACGUGUUUUGCUUCUUGCUCCCUCAUUAAACCACCGUGCACCAAA